AUACGUAGGGGGCGAGCGUUGUCCGGAAUGAUUGGGCGUAAAGGGCGCGUAGGCGGCCCGGUAAGUCUGGAGUGAAAGUCCUGUUUUUAAGAUGGGAAUUGCUUUGGAUACUGUCGGGCUUGAGUGCAGGAGAGGUAAGUGGAAUUCCCAGUGUAGCGGUGAAAUGCGUAGAGAUUGGGAGGAACACCAGUGGCGAAGGCGACUUACUGGACUGUAACUGACGCUGAGGCGCGAAAGUGUGGGGAGCAAACAGGAUUAGAUACCCUGGUAGUCCACACUGUAAACGAUGAAUGCUAGGUGUAGGGGGUAUCGACCCCUUUUGUGCCGGAGUUAACACAAUAAGCAUUCCGCCUGGGGAGUACGGCCGCAAGGUUGAAACUCAAAGGAAUUGACGGGG
rnacentral:rRNA from 1 species